UGAGUACGAGCUGCUACGGCAGCGAAGUGGGUGAUGUCAAGCUCCCAAGAAAAGCCCUAUACCCGUUAAGGCAUGAUGGCCUGUACCCGAAACCGACACAGGUGGGGUGGUAGAGAAUACCGAGGGGCGCGAGAUAACUCUCUCUAAGGAACUCGGCAAAAUGGCCCCGUAACUUCGGGAGAAGGGGUGCCACCGCAAGGUGGUCGCAGUGAAGAGGCCCAGGCGACUGUUUACCAAAAACACAGGUCUCCGCUAAGUCGCAAGACGAUGUAUGGGGGCUGACGCCUGCCCAGUGCCGGAAGGUUAAGGAAGCUGGUCAGCGUAAGCGAAGCUAGCGACUGAAGCCCCGGUGAACGGCGGCCGUAACUAUAACGGUCCUAAGGUAGCGAAAUUCCUUGUCGGGUAAGUUCCGACCCGCACGAAAGGCGUAACGAUCUGGGCGCUGUCUCGGAGAGAGGCUCGGCGAAAUAGAAUUGUCUGUGAAGAUGCGGACUACGUGCACCCGGACAGAAAGACCCUAUGAAGCUUUACUGUAGCUUGGUAUUGUGCUCGGGCUCGGAAUGCGCAGGAUAGGUGGGAGGCUAUGAACCAUUGCUUGUGGGUGAUGGUGAGCCACUGGUGAGAUACCACUCUUUCCGAGCUAGAGUUCUAACAGCCACCCGUUAUCCGGGGGCUGGACAGUAUCAGGUGGGCAGUUUGACUGGGGCGGUCGCCUCCUAAAAGGUAACGGAGGCGCGCAAAGGUUUGCUCAGGCUGGUUGGAAAUCAGCCGACGAGUGUAAAAGCAGAAGCAAGCUUGACUGUGAGACCUACAAGUCGAACAGGGAGGAAACUCGGCUUUAGUGAUCCGACGGUUCUGCGUGGAAGGGCCGUCGUUCAACGGAUAAAGGUUACUCUAGGGAUAACAGGCUGAUCUCCCCCAAGAGUUCACAUCGACGGGGAGGUUUGGCACCUCGAUGUCGGCUCAUCGCAACCUGGGGCUGAAGUCGGUCCCAAGGGUUGGGCUGUUCGCCCAUUAAAGCGGUACGCGAGCUGGGUUCAGAACGUCGUGAGACAGUUCGGUCCAUAUCCGGUGCAUGCGCAGGAAUAUUGAGAGGAUUUCUCCCUAGUACGAGAGGACCGGGAGGAACGCACCUCUGGUGUACCAGUUAUCGUGCCAACGGUAAACGCUGGGUAGCCAUGUGCGGAGAGGAUAACCCUGAAAGCAUCUAAGUGGGAAGCCCACCUCAAGAUGAGUAUUCCCAUGGGGUAACCCAGUAAGGUCACGGGAAGAACACCCGUUGAUAGGCUCUACGUGGAAGCGCAGUAAUGUGUGAAGCGGAGGAGUACUAAUAGACCGAGGGCUUGAC
rnacentral:rRNA from 1 species